UACGUAGGUGGCAAGCGUUGUCCGGAUUUACUGGGUGUAAAGGGCGUGUAGCCGGGUUGACAAGUCAGAUGUGAAAUCCUGCGGCUUAACCGCAGAACUGCAUUUGAAACUGUUGAUCUUGAGUACUGGAGAGGCAGACGGAAUUCCUAGUGUAGCGGUGAAAUGCGUAGAUAUUAGGAGGAACACCAGUGGCGAAGGCGGUCUGCUGGACAGCAACUGACGGUGAGGCGCGAAAGCGUGGGGGGCAAACAGG
rnacentral:rRNA from 1 species